GGGGAAUAUUGCGCAAUGGGGGGAACCCUGACGCAGCGACGCCGCGUGAAGGAAGAAGGCCUUCGGGUUGUAAACUUCCUUGAUUGGGGAAGAAAAAUGACGGUACCCAAAGAACAAGCCACGGCUAACUACGUGCCAGCAGCCGCGGUAAUACGUAGGUGGCGAGCGUUAUCCGGAAUUACUGGGUGUAAAGGGCGUGUAGGCGGGGAUGCAAGUCAGAUGUGAAAUUCCGGGGCUCAACCUCGGCACUGCAUCUGAAACUGUGUCUCCUGAGUGCUGGAGAGGAAAGUGGAGUUCCUAGUGUAGCGGUGAAAUGCGUAGAGAUUAGGAGGAACACCAGUGGCGAAGGCGACUUUCUGGACAGCAACUGACGCUGAGGCGCGAGAGCGUGGGGAGCAAAC
rnacentral:rRNA from 1 species